rnacentral:rRNA from 1 species
AUUGAACGCUGGCGGCAGGCCUAACACAUGCAAGUCGAGCGGAUGAAGGGAGCUUGCUCCUGGAUUCAGCGGCGGACGGGUGAGUAAUGCCUAGGAAUCUGCCUGGUAGUGGGGGAUAACGUCCGGAAACGGGCGCUAAUACCGCAUACGUCCUGAGGGAGAAAGUGGGGGAUCUUCGGACCUCACGCUAUCAGAUGAGCCUAGGUCGGAUUAGCUAGUUGGUGGGGUAAAGGCCCACCAAGGCGACGAUCCGUAACUGGUCUGAGAGGAUGAUCAGUCACACUGGAACUGAGACACGGUCCAGACUCCUACGGGAGGCAGCAGUGGGGAAUAUUGGACAAUGGGCGAAAGCCUGAUCCAGCCAUGCCGCGUGUGUGAAGAAGGUCUUCGAAUUGUAAAGCACUUUAAGUUGGGAGGAAGGGCAGUAAGUUAAUACCUUGCUGUUUUGACGUUACCAACAGAAUAAGCACCGGCUAACUUCGUG